UGGGGCCGGGAAAUGGUUGCUGUGGGGCGGGGCCUGCCAGGGCUCAGCCCAGUGACAGCCAGCCUGACCCUGCCCUAGAUAAAUGACUGGGCAGACUCCUCCAUGGGGGAGAUGCCCUGUGCGGUAGCAGGUGUGAGCAUUCUGCCAGUGUUCUGAUGGUCAUGUAUGAUACUGCACACAGGC